rnacentral:lncRNA from 1 species
AGAACCUCCGAGCAUGUAAGAUAAAAAGUGGCAUGUUUGUAGAACUUUAUCACAGCUCUAGACACCCGCAGGUAUGGAAGCCUGUUAGGAGACGACUGACGUUGACAUAUGUGCCUUCCUGUACGGCCUCAUGACAGAAAGAACUUGUCGAGGACGCAAGCAGCCCAAGAACGUAAUAAAUGUGCAUCUGCAAGGCAUUCUCAAGUGCAACAAGCUUCUGCAGAAGCGACGUUCAAGA